ensembl:lncRNA
AGAUAAUGGCCUACCUUUAGUGUACAUAGUGUUGAUCUCUGCUGCUGCUGCAGGAGCUCUGUUGAUUGCAGUUGCACUCGGGAUCUUCUGCAUCUGCAGGAAACAAAGAAAAAGUGAAAAACAAGGCAAGUAUUUCCUACACCUUUUAAAAACUAUUUUUCAAACUUUCUCUGAAUUUAAAUUGAUAAAUAAUCCUAAAUAUAAUUUAAUCAUGUGAGGGAAAUUUAUUGUUAUAGGUAUUAUACUUUACUUUACAAAAGCGUGUUGUUUAGACUGUCUAAAUGCUUCAUCAGUAUGCUUGAGUUAUUUUGAUGUGCUAAAAGACCAACAGGAAAUGUGUGUGUGUGUGUGUGUGUGUGUGUGUGUGUGUGUGUGUGUGUGUGUGUGUGUGUGUGUGUGUGUGUGUGUGUGUNGUGUGUGUGUGUGUGUAGACAAAUGUGAAUCAAAAAAUUUUAUUUUAGAGACCCUAUCUUAGCUUGAAAAGAAUAUGAUUUGUAUAAAAUACUUAGAAACUCAUCCAGGGGACAUAGUUAGAUACCAUGGACAUAUAUGUUGAACAUUUGUCAUGAUUUGGACUCGAUUAGUGUAUAAAGGCAGACUCAAUUUGUUUCUCUUUUUCGCACUUUACAGCCAUGACUGUAUGACUGUCAACUUUUCUUGCAAGAAAAUAAAUCUUCAAAAGACUUUUUUUCUCAAAAGACCGUUAUUGAAAUAGAAAAUUGCCAUGACAGUUAUUCACAUAAUUUCUGUACUAAAGUUUAUUUUUAUGGAAGGUAAUAAUGAGUGUAGUUAUUUGGUCAUUUCAAUGAUUAGUGAUAUUUCACUUUAAGCUUCAGUAAAAAUUAUAAGCAUGGACUGUAUUUUAAAUAUAACCUUACUUACUCUGCUAGGGCCUUUUUACAUGUGUGAAACAAGUAAUUCAAAAUGAAUAAAUUAUGUUAAAAAUGCAUGUUAAAUUUUUUAAUUCUGUGCACUGAUUGUGUCUUGAUAACACAUUUUGUGAAGAAGCAAGUCUACUUAAGAUCGUGUUCUGUAGUAUUAAUCCAUCUGUCAUUACUGUUCAAACAGUUGAGUCUUGUGAAGAGAUCACUUACGCUGAUCCAACAUUCUACAAAAGAAAAAAACAGAAACUGAAAGUUAAAGAGGAAGAUAAUGUGGUGUAUGCACCUAUCACAACGAGAAGAUGAUCAAACUUUCAUCUUUUCUGAGACCAAGAACCUCCAGCAGCUAUCUCAGAGUCAGAAUCUAUGGUUGAGUUUUGGCAAUGGUGAGAAUCACUAUAUGCAGUACUAAUUUUGUCAAAAUGUUUUGUACACAGAUGGCAUGAUAUAAAUUAGAUGAUGGUUUUCGAUUUUGUUCUAGUUUUAAUGGUCAAAAAAUGAGUCAAAAUGAACCCUGUCUGUUGUCUCAUUUAUUUACUUUUGUACAGAGAUGUGGUUUGAUCUGUUGGUGGACAAACAGCUUCAGCAUGAACAUGUUGUUCUAAAGGAAGUUUGUAGUUUAUGUCAGAGUUUGCAUCUGAGGUGUCAAUGUGUCUGUCAGUAGAAUGUGGUUAAAGAGUGUUUUUCCAUUCCUUGCCCAUUUGAUGUGUAGGAAGGCCAAACAGUUGAACUAAAAAAGAAACAUUAACAGAAGAGAGAUUUAACAGCAAAUUAAAAGAGAAAAACACCUGUUCCUAAAUUCCCUCCUCUGACAUCAUUAGCCUACUUGUUAUUGUGAUAUAGGUAAAAGAAACGUUUGGGCCCCUUUGCCUACUAUGUACUUUUACCACCAAAAAAAAAAAAAAAAAAAAAAAAAGCAGACAAAAAUGAAUGACUUAAGCCUUUAACCCUUUUACUGGUAAGUUUAAAAUAUUCUACCUGACACCCCAGAGUAAGUUUUUUUGGGGCGACCAUUAUUUUAGAACGUUUCUCCUUAUUGUUUCCACGGCGAUGCGUCAUGCUUGUCACAUGUUACAUUACAGCUACAAAUACAUUGUAUGACAAAUGUAUUGCUUUUUUUUAGUUUUUCCUUUUUUAUUCAAAAUAUUCACACACUUGCUUACCAUGUCAUCACCUAUCUGAUAUUCUGUUUCACAAAUAUAUGUGAGUGUAUUUUGUCAUUUAAAAACCUUUAUAACUGAUCUUG